AUCAAUCAAUGGACUAUACAAGAAAUAUCAAAGGUGUUUCUUCAAUAGCUUGUCAAUCAAGAUCAAAUUGUGUGACAUGAGCCUUAAGCAAUAGGGAAGGGAUGGGAUUGGAGAAUUCCAUUAACUCAUUCUGAAUAUCUUUGGGUACGGGACGAAUGACCCAGUUGCUCAUCGUAUUUACCUCUAUUCAGAGACUUUAGCACAAUUCAAAUCAUAUGAUUGUCAAGUCUCUCUCCAAC
rnacentral:lncRNA from 1 species